rnacentral:rRNA from 1 species
AUCUGGUUGAUCCUGCCGGAGGCUACCGCUAUUGGAGUUCGAUUAAGCCAUGCGAGUCGAGAGUCUUAGGGACUCGGCGUACCGCUCAGUAACACGUGGGUAACCUGCCCUAUGCUGGGGAAUAACCUCGGGAAACUGAGAAUAAUACCCCAUAGUUCACCACGCCUGGAACGGUGGGUGGAUGAAAGCUCCGGCGGCAUAGGAUGGGCCUGCGACGUAUCAGGUUGUAGGGGGUGUAACGUACCCUCUAGCCAUCAACGCGUACGGGUGUUGGGAGACAUAGCCCGGAGAUGGAUUCUGAGACACGAAUCCAGACCCUACGGGGUGCAGCAGGCGCGAAAACUUGGCAAUGCGAGCAAUCGUGACCAGGGAACUCCAAGUGGCUGGGGUAAUACCCAGUUUUUUCUUGACUCUUCAAAGGUCUUGGAAUAAGGGGUGGGUAAGGACGGUGCCAGCCGCCGCGGUAAUACCGGCGCCUCAAGUGGUAGUCGCUUUUAUUGGGCCUAAAACGUCCGUAGCCGGUCUGGUGCAUUCGUGGGUAAAUCAACCCGCUCAACGGGUUGAAUUCUGCGAGCACGGCCAGACUUGGGACCGGGAGAGGUGUGGAGUACUCUCAG